CAUAUUUUUUGAAUCGUGCAACGGUGUAGUGGUUCAUGUUUUUAAAUAGUAUGCAUUGUUUGGUGAACACAUUAGGUCUCUGAAACGCUCCAUUAGCCUUGAAAAUGUGCAGAUUCUUGAGAUGAGUUACAGUCCUUCUCACCUCAAUCAUAUGUUCUAAAAAGUGUACUUCUGUUGAGACGGUCAAAUCCAAAGAAUUUUUUUUUAUUCUUAUAUCUACCACAAAUAAUUAUAGCAGCAAAACUGAUGAUUGUUACAGUGGAAGAAACUCAACACAAAACUUUCAGGGUGGAGUUUAACAGUACUGUGCUUCCCAAUGGAAACUAUGUCAUAGACUUCCAUGAGAUGUGCUUCAGCUCCAGGGAAAAGUGCAUAAAUGGGGAAGAUCAGGGAUAUUUGUGAAUUUUUCAUUAGUUACAGUGUGUUUCAAGAAGCCACCAGUCACACUCAGGUCAGUUCAUACGCCCCUACAAAUCAGUGAAGUCUGAUAUUUGGAGUUUUAUUAUGCUAACAUGGGGGGCGGGGGUGCCGGUACUUGCUGGCAGUUGUGAAUUAGAGGGAAUGAAUCUCAUGGUGUAUCCCCAAGGCAUCUUUUAAAAAUAGUGCUACAUCACUUACUGGACUAGGUGUGUUUUAGAACCUUCUUUCUUUGUUUUUCCAUGGGUAGCAACACUAUGUGUAUAUUAUACUUUGGACUGUGUGUGUAUAUAUGAAUGUGGGACAGAUGACUCUUUUUAUGGGCUUUGAUUGGAUAGGUCAAAGUAGCACUAGGAACUAUCUUUUCCCCUUCUCUUUAUUUUCUUCUUUCUUAUAUAUAUUUUAAUGCCAGCUGUAGGCUGAUGCACAGUGAAUUUAAGGAAGGACAGAAACUGGGCAAAUGGCGGGUGAGGGGAAGGGGAAAGCAACUUGUAAAUAUCUAUAGGUGCUCCAAAGUCACUAGCAUUGUGUAGCACUUACCAAAGGAGGUCAGCCCUUUGUUUUUGCAUUCACAGUUUUUCCUUCAUCUAGAAACACACAGAGACCAGCAAAAGAACCCAAGAAUUAAUCAGUUCAGGCCACUUCCAAAACAGUAUGGGUGGGCUGGUCCUAACCUGACCAACAAGAAUACAGGAGGCUGUAAGUGGAUGGUAAUUCACACACUCCUACUUUCAAUAAAACUUUGAAUUUAUUCGUUUCA
rnacentral:lncRNA from 1 species